UUUGUCUGUUUUUUCGUGUGUUAGUAGUGGUUGAUGGAUUGGACGAGAUGGAUGUAAUAGCAAGUGUCUGUGUGUUGUAGGCUGGCCAAAGCAGCAACGCUGACGACGAUGGGAGACAAGCAGUGGUGGUUCUCCAAGGACGUGGUUGUGGCCGUGGCCAUGGCCGGUAGGGUGAGGCGCCAUACCAGCUGCAGUACAGAAGAUAGUUUCCGGCGCGUUGUUAAAGAACUUUAUGUAUGGUGGAGGGCGUUAAAACAAUGAACCAUUGUAUGGGGCAACUCAUCUUCCGGGAUAACAUGGUCGUUUACCGAAGCCAGAGUGGUUGAACGACAAUCCCUUUGCAUCCACUAGUGACUAGAGCGUGCUGUGGCUGCGUCUUGUGAAGGUGGAGAGCAACUGAUGUUCGGAAUCAACUUCAGUAAUGGCUGUUGGGAGUUCAAAUGCUUUUGUGUUUAUCACAGAUGCUGCCAUUACUGAACGCAGAAAGAAACCAGUGCAUCCUGCCAACAUUCCAUCCUGGCUCGUAUGUUGGACUGGGAGACUAGAUGCCAUCCUCUGCCUCGCUUCACCUUCCAGGGAGGGACAGACUUCUGCCUCACUCUUCACUCUGCCCUGCCAAUACACGCUGCCAUGCUCUGUUACCACAUUAUAUGAUCCGAUCAUGUAUAGCUGUUACGAUCAUCAACAUUAUCUGCCUGGGGUGAGAAGAUCGGCUGGGAAGUGUAGCAAGGAUGAGAGCGUGGAAGAGCGUGGCGGUGGUGUGGCUCGAGUCAAGAAAUACUUACAAAAGGAUUAUGGUAAUGGAUGAAGAUUAUGUUGUGUCGAAGUGGCUUACAAUAUGAAGAAACGCCACCAGGAGUUACUCCGACAAGCCCAAGAUUCGCAUCUGUGAGUUUAGCAUGUCAACAACAACUGUGAUGGCCAAUGAAAGUGUACACAAUCUGUAAUUACUAUUAAUCACUUACUUGACCAUUAAAGUUGUUGAAUGUGUAAAAUAGUAAAUAUGAGAUUAAAGUAGAUAAGCUAUUAAGUUAUUUUACUGCUAAUAUAGUUCAUAGUGUUAAUACAUUGGUCAAGGAAAUGACUUCAUAUGGUGCUGCAAUAUUUGGUUGGUAAGUGAUAGUUUUAGGACACAGGAGAUGGUGGUGGUUUGCUUUGACAAUAUUUCACGAUCUUAGAGCAAAUGUAUCUAUUAUAAGUAAACAUUUUAUUAACAGGAGUAUACUAACUUUAACAGUCCUGUAGAGAGUUACUUUGCUGCAAUGGAUUUCAUAUUGGCGUCAAAAAAAGUUAUCUAAUUUUGACAAGACUUCAGGUUCCUUAAUACAAAAAAUUUUGAACAAAGUCUUGUGAACCAUGCAUUUUGUUCGAUUUAAGAACUAGUGAGAAAUCAAGGGACUUUUUAAAAUUUCUUGAGAAGUUUAAAGGUUUCAGGUUACUUCAUGAAAUUGGAUAGAAUUGGUUUUUGUUAAGAGUGAGAAUCGUAUGACCUGUUCAAGUUCAAAACAUUGAAAUGAGACAGUCACUUGUUUCUGAUCAGGAAGCAAAGCAUUGUUGUUCUGUCCUGUCAUGAACUGUUUGUUGUUAAUGAUGAGUGGAUGAACAUCUCCCACGAGUCGCUUAUCACUUUUCAAGAAUUUCAACAAUAACAUUCUGAACCAGAAAAGGUCUUACAGGAUGAUAUCAUUUCAUGGAACCACAGUGAGCAUUUCUUAUUGGAAGAUCAUAAGCUUGCUACUUGCUCCUAAAUGGAAAAUCUAACCUGUGUGAAAGAUUAAAGACUAAGUAAGCUGCUCAAGCAAUGGGAUAGAAGUGUGGCACCAAGCAUUAAAUUUUACACAACACUGUAUAGACAAAGCGCCUCAUGGAACUGUUUAUAUUGCAGUAUAUGUGUAUCGGGCGCUUAAAAGUUACUUGAUGAAAUAGUUCAGGUAAUCUUCAUCUUAGAUAUUUAUUUCUAAAUAUUGUCCUGCUUGACUUGCAAGGUAUGUAAGCCGAGUGGUUUACCUGCGUAUGCCCACUGAGUAUCGUGCUUGCUUUCUUUGCAAGGCAUAAUACUCAACUAGCAGUUCGCGGAAGCCAAAUAUUGAUAACUGUGAAAACUCGUCUAUUUGGGCUGCAUGGU
rnacentral:misc_RNA from 1 species